rnacentral:rRNA from 1 species
GAUGAACGCUGGCGGCGUGCCUAACACAUGCAAGUCGAACGGAGUCGUUUUGGAAAUCUCUUCGGAGAUGGAAUUCUCGACUUAGUGGCGGACGGGUGAGUAACGCGUGAGCAAUCUGCGUUUAAGAGGGGGAUAACAGUCGGAAACGGCUGCUAAUACCGCAUAAAGCAUUAAAUUCGCAUGUUUUUGAUGCCAAAGGAGCAAUCCGCUUUUAGAUGAGCUCGCGUCUGAUUAGCUGGUUGGCGGGGUAACGGCCCACCAAGGCGACGAUCAGUAGCCGGACUGAGAGGUUGAACGGCCACAUUGGGACUGAGACACGGCCCAGACUCCUACGGGAGGCAGCAGUGGGGAAUAUUGCGCAAUGGGGGAAACCCUGACGCAGCAACGCCGCGUGAUUGAAGAAGGCCUUCGGGUUGUAAAGAUCUUUAAUCAGGGACGAAACAAAUGACGGU